UUUAAGGUCUAACCUGCCCAAUGAGGAUUUAAAUGGCCGCAGUAUUUUGACUGUGCAAAGGUAGCAUAAUUAUUAGUUUUUUAAUUGAAAGCUUGUAUGAAGGGUUGGACGAGAUAAAAUCUGUCUUUAUUUAAAUUAAAGUAUAAUUUAACUUUUGAGUCAAAAGGCUUAAAUGUUUAUAAAAGACGAGAAGACCCUAUAGAUCUUUAUUUAGUUAAGAUUUUAAUAAUUUAGGAUUAUUUUAAUUUGGAGUUUUAAUUAAAUUUUAUUGGGGUAAUAUAAAGAUUAAAUUAAUUCUUUUUAUUUAUGACAUUAAUUUAUGAAUAUGUGAUCCAUUAAUAUUGAUUAUAAGAUUAAGUUACCUUAGGGAUAACAGCGUAAUUUUUUUGGAGAGCUCAUAUCGAUAAGAAAGUUUGCGACCUCGAUGUUGGAUUAAAAAUUAGCUUGGGUGCAGAAGCUCAAGAUUUUGGUCUGUUCGACCAUUAAAUUUUUACAUGAUCUGAGUUCAGACCGGCGUAAGCCAGGUCGGUUUCUAUCUUUAUUCAGAUAAAAUAUUUUAGUACGAAAGGACCAAGUAUUUAGUAUAAUUAUAUUUAUUUUUU
rnacentral:rRNA from 1 species